UCUGGUGUCAGCCGCCGCGGUAAAACCAGCGCCUCAAGUGGUCAGGAUGAUUAUUGGGCCUAAAGCAUCCGUAGCCGGCUCUGUAAGUUUUCGGUUAAAUCUGUACGCUCAACGUACAGGCUGCCGGGAAUACUGCAGAGCUAGGGAGUGGGAGAGGUAGACGGUACUCGGUAGGAAGGGGUAAAAUCCUUUGAUCUAUUGAUGACCACCUGUGGCGAAGGCGGUCUACCAGAACACGUCCGACGGUGAGGGAUGAAAGCUGGGGGAGCAAACCGGAUUAGAUACCCGGGUAGUCCUAGCUGUAAACUAUGCAAACUCAGUGAUGCAUUGGCUUGUGGCCAAUGCAGUGCUGCAGGGAAGCCGUUAAGUUUGCCGCCUGGGAAGUGCGUACGCAAGUAUGAAACUUAAAG
rnacentral:rRNA from 2 species